UCGCAUACAACACAGGAGCCAAAAGAGCUCCCCAAAACCCAAACCCUAACUCAUAAAAUUGAUCAAAUCAAGAAGGCAAAUCAAGUUCAAAUCAAAAACCAAGCUCAAACUAGUGAUCACUCAAGUGAGGGGAUCACAAGGCAAAGGGAUCGAAUCUUCAAGCGGACAAGCCGGAACGGAUACGCUCUAAAGGUGAUCAUAGUGACCUCCCGGGUGAAGAUCAAAUAAUUUUCAAGAACCGAACACAAGUCUUUUGAAGCUUCUGCAAUGAUAUCAUUUUGUUUAACUAAAUUUGAAACAAGAAAACACUUGGUG